rfam:Canis lupus familiaris chromosome 18, whole genome shotgun sequence.
CGGGGGAGGCCGGAUCCUGGGCUGUGUCCCGGCGCCCUGUGCUCGGGGGCCUGUGCUGUUGGAUUCGCGCUCCCGGGCCGCGCAGCCCCCU